rnacentral:rRNA from 1 species
UACGUAGGGGGCAAGCGUUGUCCGGAUUUAUUGGGCGUAAAGAGCGUGUAGGCGGCCAGGUAGGUCUGCUGUGAAAACUCGAGGCUUAACCUCGAGAUGUCGGCGGAAACCAUCUGGCUAGAGUCCGGAAGAGGAGAGUGGAAUUCCUGGUGUAGCGGUGAAAUGCGCAGAUAUCAGGAAGAACACCCGUGGCGAAGGCGGCUCUCUGGGACGGUACUGACGUUGAGACGCGAAAGCGUGGGGAGCGAACAGG